rnacentral:rRNA from 1 species
UACAGAGGGUGCAAGCGUUGUUCGGAAUUAUUGGGCGUAAAGCGCGUGUAGGCGGCGUGACAAGUCGGGUGUGAAAGCCCUCAGCUCAACUGAGGAAGUGCGCCCGAAACUGUCGUGCUUGAGUGCCGGAGAGGGUGGCGGAAUUCCCCAAGUAGAGGUGAAAUUCGUAGAUAUGGGGAGGAACACCGGUGGCGAAGGCGGCCACCUGGACGGCUACUGACGCUGAGACGCGAAAGCGUGGGGAGCAAACGGG